UGGGCUCCAGUAAAAUUCUCCAGAGAUGGGUUUGAAUAUGCUCCAGAACAUGGGGAACCAGAGCCCUGGUUUGUUUUUCCAUUUUAGUGCGUGUGUUUUAUAGUCAUUUGUUCUGGGAUCCUUUCUGAGGGCUUAUUCCAGUAAUUCAGCUGAUGAUAGGGAUCUGCUAAUGUUGGGAUUAUUCUAAGCAACUAAAAUUGUAAGGCCCACUGUUUUCAAUAGGAGCUAGACACCUAUAUAUUUUGGGCCUAAAUGCCCCCACUCAUAAUACACAUCCUCUCAUUGUUUUAUUUGAAAAAUAUAUGCUACACUAUAAAUUAAACAUUCCAGAGAGUCUCUCCCUCUAGGAGGGAUCAACAUAUGGCAAGAACCAAGAGUGUUGUUGUAGCCAGGUUGGUCCCAGGAUAUGAGAGAGACAAGGGGCAAACUGAGAGACAGUGAGUUGAAACAACUGGCUCCAAACUGCAUAGUAAAAGAAUUGAAAAUAGAGUCCAGAAAUUCUAGAGCCCAGUCCUCUGAACUAACCCCUGGACAACUUUCCAUCCCGCCUGUUAGUUAUGACAUUUAAAGAAAUUGACAUUUAAAGAGGCUGACUGGAAUGAAGCAUCAAAGAGCCAUGAACGGGACAGCUGCAGCAAGGACUCCUAAUGCUGCAAACUGGCCAGACUGUGAAUUUGUGGCAGGGUAUCAUUCACUUGCCCUACAAUUGCACUUUCUUCUAGAGAUUAUAGCUCUGGAAGUAAGCCUCCUCCAAUGCUAGC